UACGUAGGGUGCAAGCGUUAAUCGGAAUUACUGGGCGUAAAGCGUGCGCAGGCGGUUUUGUAAGUCUGACGUGAAAUCCCCGGGCUCAACCUGGGAAUUGCGUUGGAGACUGCAAGGCUGGAGUCUGGCAGAGGGGGGUAGAAUUCCACGUGUAGCAGUGAAAUGCGUAGAGAUGUGGAGGAACACCGAUGGCGAAGGCAGCCCCCUGGGUCAAGAUUGACGCUCAUGCACGAAAGCGUGGGGAGCAGAACAGGAUUAGACU
rnacentral:rRNA from 1 species